rnacentral:rRNA from 1 species
UACGUAGGCAGCGAGCGUUGUUCGGAGUUACUGGGCGUAAAGAGUGCGUAGGCGGUGGCCUAAGUCUGGUGUGAAAUCUCCCGGCUCAACUGGGAGGGUGCGCCGGAAACUGGGUUGCUCGAGUGUGGGAGAGGUAAGCGGAAUUCCUGGUGUAGCGGUGAAAUGCGUAGAUAUCAGGAGGAACACCUGCGGUGUAGACGGCUUACUGGACCAUGACUGACGCUGAGGCACGAAAGCGUGGGGAGCAAACAGGAUUAGAAACCCCCGUAGUCC